CUACGGGAGGCAGCAGUGAGGAAUAUUGCACAAUGGGGGAAACCCUGAUGCAGCAACGCCGCGUGGAGGAUGACGCAUUUCGGUGUGUAAACUCCUUUUAUAUGUCAAGAAAAUGACGGUAGCAUAUGAAUAAGCACCGGCUAACUCCGUACCAGCAGCCGCGGUAAUACGGAGGGUGCAAGCGUUACUCGGAAUCACUGGGCGUAAAGGACGCGUAGGCUGGUUGGUAAGUCAGGUGUGAAAUCCUACAGCUUAACUGUAGAACUGCACUUGAAACUACCAACCUAGAGUAUGGGAGGGGGAGAUGGAAUUAGUGGUGUAGGGGUAAAAUCCGUAGAUAUCACUAGGAAUACCGAAAGCGAAGGCGAUCUCCUGGAACAUAACUGACGCUAAGGCGUGAAAGCGUGGGGAGCAAACAGGAUUAGAUACCCUCGUAGUC
rnacentral:rRNA from 1 species